AACUGGAAUGUCACAUCAGAACCAGAUGAUAUGCAUUCCAGAACUGUAGCAUUAUGCCUGGCAUGUAGUAGGUGUAAUUACUUGGUUAAAAAAUAAAGAACCAUCUAGAGAAGAUAGAUCUCUGCUGAUUUGUAGAUCACCACAGUAAUCAAGAGACAAAAUGAUUCCAUCACUGCAAAGAUCUUGGAGCUGCCAUUUAUAUUGUCCCCAACCUCCUCUCCUCAACCCUUCUAACCCAUAGUACCAUUUAUCUAUUUUUAUCUUUAUAAUGUUGUCAUUUUGAGAAUGUGUUAUAAAUAAAAUCAUACAGUAUUUUA